GACGAACGCUGGCGGCGUGCCUAAUACAUGCAAGUUGAGCGCUGAAGGUUGGUACUUGUACCAACUGGAUGAGCAGCGAACGGGUGAGUAACGCGUGGGGAAUCUGCCUUUGAGCGGGGGACAACAUUUGGAAACGAAUGCUAAUACCGCAUAAAAACUUUAAACACAAGUUUUAAGUUUGAAAGAUGCAAUUGCAUCACUCAAAGAUGAUCCCGCGUUGUAUUAGCUAGUUGGUGAGGUAAAGGCUCACCAAGGCGAUGAUACAUAGCCGGCCUGAGAGGGUGAUCGGCCCAACUGGGACUGAGACACGGCCCAAACUCCCACGGGAGGCAGCCGUAGGGGAUCUUCGGCCAUUGACGAAAGGCUGAACGAGCAACCCCGCGUGGGGGAAGAAGGGUUUCGGAUUCUAAAACUCUGUUGGUAGAGAAGAAAGUUGGUGGUAGUGGAAAGCUCAUCAAGUGACGGUACCUACCCAGAAAGGGACGGCUAACUACGUG
rnacentral:rRNA from 1 species